rnacentral:rRNA from 1 species
CGGGGUGCAGCAGGCGCGAAAACUUUACAAUGCCGGCAACGGCGAUAAGGGAACCUCGAGUGCCAGGUUACAAAUCUGGCUGUCGUGAUGCCUAAAAAGCAUUGCAUAGCAAGGGCCGGGCAAGACCGGUGCCAGCCGCCGCGGUAACACCGGCGGCUCGAGUGGUAACCGUUAUUAUCGGGUCUAAAGGGUCUGUAGCCGGCCGGAUAAGUCUCUUGGGAAAUCUGGCAGCUUAACUGUCAGGCUUUCAGGAGAUACUGUCUGGCUCGAGGCCGGGAGAGGUGAGAGGUACUUCAGGGGUAGGGGUGAAAUCUUGUAAUCCUUGAAGGACCACCAGUGGCGAAGGCGUCUCACCAGAACGGACCUGACGGCAAGGGACGAAAGCUAGGGGCACGAACCGGAUUAGAUACCCGGGUAGUCCUAGCCGUAAACAAUACUCGCUAGGUGUCGGCCACGGUGCGACCGUGGUCGGUGCCGUAGGGAAGCCGUGAAGCGAGCCACCUGGGAAGUACGGCCGCAAGGCUGAAACUUAAAGGAAUUGGCGGGGGAGCAC